GACGUAGGGCGCGAGCGUGUCCGGAUUUAUUGGGCGUAAAGGGCUCGUAGGCGGUUUGUCGCGUCGGGAGUGAAAACCAGGUGCUUAACACCUGGCUUGCUUUCGAUACGGGCAGACUAGAGGUAUGCAGGGGAGAACGGAAUUCCUGGUGUAGCGGUGAAAUGCGCAGAUAUCGAGGAGACGUGCGAGGCGGUCAGCGGGCUCUGGGCAGUGACAGAGUGGGAGG
rnacentral:rRNA from 1 species